rnacentral:rRNA from 1 species
CAGUAGCCGCGGUAAUACGAAGGGGGCUAGCGUUGUUCGGAAUCACUGGGCGUAAAGGGUGCGUAGGCGGAUUCUUAAGUCAGGGGUGAAAUCCUGGAGCUCAACUCCAGAACUGCCUUUGAUACUGAGGAUCUUGAGUUCGGGAGAGGUGAGUGGAACUGCGAGUGUAGAGGUGAAAUUCGUAGAUAUUCGCAAGAACACCAGUGGCGAAGGCGGCUCACUGGCCCGAUACUGACGCUGAGGCACGAAAGCGUGGGGAGCAAAUGGGAUUAGAUACCCCCGUAGUCCCUGUCUCUUAUAC